GCCUGGGUGGCUCAGUCAGUUGAGUGCCCAACUUCGGCUCAGAUCACGAUCUCACAGUUUGUGGGUUCGAGCCCCACCUCGGGCU
rfam:Felis catus isolate Cinnamon breed Abyssinian chromosome E3, whole genome shotgun sequence.